rnacentral:tRNA from 1 species
UCUGAAAUAGCUCAGUUAGAACAGCGUCAGACUAUAAAUCGAAAGGUCCUUCGUUCGAUCCCCAGUUCCGAUA